rnacentral:rRNA from 1 species
AGUGAACGCUGGCGGUAGGCCUAACACAUGCAAGUCGAACGGCAGCACAGUAAGAGCUUGCUCUUACGGGUGGCGAGUGGCGGACGGGUGAGGAAUACAUCGGAAUCUACUUUUUCGUGGGGGGUAACGUAGGGAAACUUACGCUAAUACCGCAUACGACCUACGGGUGAAAGCAGGGGAUCUCCGGACCUUGCGCGAUUGAAUGAGCCGAUGUCGGAUUAGCUAGUUGGCGGGGUAAAGGCCCACCAAGGCGACGAUCCGUAGCUGGUCUGAGAGGAUGAUCAGCCACACUGGAACUGAGACACGGUCCAGACUCCUACGGGAGGCAGCAGUGGGGAAUAUUGGACAAUGGGCGCAAGCCUGAUCCAGCCAUACCGCGUGGGUGAAGAAGGCCUCCGGGUUGUAAAGCCCUUUUGUUGGGAAAGAAAAGCAGCAGGUUAAUACCCCGCUGUUCUGACGGUACCCAAAGAAUAAGCACCGGCUAACUUCGUG